CAGCAGCCGCGGGAAUACGUAGGGGGCAAGCGUUACUCGGAAUUACUGGGCGUAAAGGGCGCGUAGGCGGCACGAUUAGUCAGGCGUGAAAUUCCUGGGCUCAACCUGGGGACUGCGCUUGAUACGGUCGAGCUAGAGGAUGGAAGAGGGUCGUGGAAUUCCCAGUGUAGAGGUGAAAUUCGUAGAUAUUGGGAAGAACACCGGUGGCGAAGGCGGCGACCUGGUCCAUUACUGACGCUGAGGCGCGACAGCGUGGGGAGCAAACAGGAUUAGAUACCCGCGUAGUCCCUGUCUCUUAUAC
rnacentral:rRNA from 1 species